GCGCGAAAACUUUACAAUGCUGGCAACAGCGAUAAGGGAACCUCGAGUGCCAGGUUACAAAUCUGGCUGUCGAGAUGCCUAAAAAGCAUUUCAUAGCAAGGGCCGGGCAAGACCGGUGCCAGCCGCCGCGGUAACACCGGCGGCUCGAGUGGUAACCGUUAUUAUUGGGUCUAAAGGGUCUGUAGCCGGCCGGAUAAGUCUCUUGGGAAAUCUGACAGCUCAACUGUCAGGCUUUCAGGAGAUACUGUCUGGCUCGAGGCCGGGAGAGGUGAGAGGUACUUCAGGGGUAGGGGUGAAAUCUUGUAAUCCUUGAAGGACCACCAGUGGCGAAGGCGUCUCACCAGAACGGACCCGACGGCAAGGGACGAAAGCUAGGGGCACGAACCG
rnacentral:rRNA from 1 species